rnacentral:rRNA from 1 species
UCAGGGUAAACGGAAAAGACCCGAAAUUCCGAAAAGGGAGAUUCACGUCUGCUCGCGCCUCUGCUCGGCACCUGUCGCGUUUGGACGGCCAUUUGUGCCCCCGUUUGUGCGCAAGCUCAAGCGGUCGGGUCUGGUUGCCGACGCGCGGGUUGUCCGAGCCGCGGCGGACCGCACUUCUCCCUUAGUAGGACGUCGCGACCCGCCCGUCCGUGGCCUAAGGCUGGGCAAGACGCCUGACGCUCGCCGUUGGCUUUUAGCCAGCGACUGUGCGUCAGACUGCCCGUGCUUCCCGGCCACGGUUUUUUUACGGACGGUAUCGAAUACCGGUGUCGAGUCGCUUCUUCGCGAGGGGGAGAUAAAACACCCUCUCGUACGGAAGCGCCCUAGGCAGAGGGCAAGGUUUUUCCGAGUCUCUAAAAACGUAAGUUUUGAAGUCAAGACGUUUGUUUUCUGUUCGUCUGGCGGAGCUCGGGCCUGUUGGUUCUCUUGGUCUUUGGGCAGGCUCAUUCCCAUUGCGCGGAGAAAGGCACCAGUCAGCGGCGAUCUAGUUUUGGGCUCUUUUCCGACCCGUCUUGAAACACGGACCAAGGAGUUUAGCGUGCUCGCGAGUCAUUGGGCGUUACAAAACCUAAAGGCGAAAUGAAAGUAAAGAGAGUCCCUUUUUUUGUGGCUCUCGAGGGAGGAUGAGCUACUGCUCUGGUCGUUCCUAACCGGCGGCUGAGCGUGUCUCCGCACUCCCGGGGCGACUCUUUCUCAUUGCGAGUGGAGGCGCACCAAGAGCGAGUACGCUGAAACCCGAAAGAUGGUGAACUAUGCCUGGCCAGGACGAAGCCAGGGGAAACCCUGGUGGAGGUCCGCAGCGAUUCUGACGUGCAAAUCGAUCGUCGGAGCUGGGUAUAGGGGCGAAAGACCAAUCGAACCAUCUAGUAGCUGGUUCCCUCUGAAGUUUCCCUCAGGAUAGCUUGCGCUCGGGUGUGAAGAGUCUCAUCCGGUAGAGCGAAUGAUUAGAGGCCUUGGGGUCGAAACGACCUCAACCUAUUCUCAAACUCCAAAUAGAUGAGAACCCCGGCUUGCUUGAAUGUGUGUGAAGCCGCGGGACUCGGAUCAGA